UACGGAGGGUGCGAGCGUUGUCCGGAAUCACUGGGCGUAAAGGGCGCGUAGGUGGCCGAGCAAGGUCGCGGUGAAAGCCCGGGGCUCAACCCCGGGUCGGCCGUGGCAACUACUCGGCUUGAGCACUGUAGGGGCGGGUGGAAUUCCGGGUGUAGCGGUGGAAUGCGUAGAGAUCGGGAAGAACACCUGUGGCGAAGGCGGCCCACUGGGCCGGUUCUGACGCUGAGGCGCGAAAGCGUGGGGAGCAAACAGG
rnacentral:rRNA from 1 species